AUAUAUAUAUAUAUAUAAACAGUUGUUACAAUCCCAAUCAUCAUAAAAUCUGUAGAGUCCUCUUCCAAUCUUAACAUCGUAGACAACGUUUGGAUUUCUGCAAGUGGAGUGGGUACUUAUUACUCUCCAGGUAUUCCUGUCCUGCAUGAAGUUGUUGUCAACUGUAUAGAGUCCGUCUUCCUUAAUAAGUAUAGUGAAAGAGCUUGUUUCAAGGAACAGUAAAUGGUUGUUGUCAUAAAGCGUUGUCCACUCAGCAGCAUUAAGCCAACUUUGGGUUGAUGCUUUAAGUACAUGUGCGACAUCUGGCAAAUAUAGCAUCAAAAUAUAUUAGAUUUGUAGAUAUAUAAAUAACUAUCUUAGUUUUGCUACAAUGUCUUCUUCAAUUAGAAUUUUCCAAGCAUCAGUUCUAUCACAAACCUUCUCCUAGAUCUCCCUAGAAUCCAGAUCUGCUACAUUCUUAGAUUUUUAAAUCUUGCCUAAGUGUUACAAAUUCCAUAGAUCUUGCAUUCCCUAAAUCUUGAUGUUCUAAAAUUUCUAAAUACAAUGCCUCGAUUUCCCAAAUUCGCCACAGUAUCUCGAUGAUCUCCUUCAAAACUAAAAGAGUUUUUAACUAACCAAAUACUCAAAUACUCCUAAUUUGUAUUCUUAACCCUUUAACCAUAGCCUAAACAAUACCCAAUUUUUAAAAUAAUAAAUAAACACUUACAUUGUUUUUAUUGCUUUCUUUGUAAACUAUGAAUUUUUUUUU
rnacentral:sRNA from 1 species